rnacentral:lncRNA from 1 species
GUGGAAGAGGUGGAUGUGGCUUUUUUUAAACAACUAACAAAAUCAUCCAAAGCCCAAGAUCUGGUGGUGAUGGGGGACUUCAACUAUCCAGAUAUAUGUUGGGAAAUUAACACAGCGGGGCACAGACUAUCUAAUAAGUUCUUGGACUGCAUUGCAGUCAACUUUUUAUUUCGGAAGGUUGAAAAAGCUACCAGGGGGGAAGCUGUUCUAGAUUUGAUAUUAAUAAAUAGGAAGGAACUUGUUGAAAAUUUGAAAGUGGAAGAAGGUAGCUUGGGUGAAAGUGAUCAUGAAAUCGUAGAGUUCACAAUUCAAAGGAAGGGACUACAGCAAAAUAGAGACAAUGGAUUUCAGGAAGGUGGAUUUUGGUAAGCUCAGAGAGCUGAUAGGUAAGGUCCCAUGGGAAUCACGACCGAGGAGAAAAACGACUGAGGAGAGUUGGCAGUUUUUCAAAGGGACACUAUUAAGGGCCCAAAAGCAAGCUAUUCCGCUGGGUAGGAAAGAUAGAAAAUGUGGCAAAAGACCACCUUGGCUUAACCACAAGAUCUUGCAUGAUCUAAAAAAUAAAAAGGAGUCAUAUAAAAAAUGGAAGCUAGGACAAAGUACAAAGGAUGAAUAUAGGCAAACAACACAGGAAUGUAGGGAUAAGAUUAGAAAGGCAAAGGCACAAAAUGAGCUCAAACUAGCUAUGGGAAUAAAGGGAAACAAGAAGACUUUUUAUCAAUAUAUUAGAAGCAAGAGGAAGACCAAAGACAGGGGAAGCCCACUGCUCAGUGAGGAGGGAGAAACAGUAACAGGAAACUUGGAAAUGGCAGAGAUGCUUAAUGACUUCUUUGUUUCGGUCUUCACCGAGAAGUCUGAAGGAAUGCCUAACAUAGUGAACGCUAAUGGGAAGGGGGUAGAUUUAGAAGAUAAAAUAAAAAAAGAACAAGUUAAAAAUCUCUUAGAAAAGUUAGAUGCCUGCAAGUCACCAGGGCCUGAUGAAAUGCAUCCUAAAAUACGCAAGGAGCUAACAGAGGAGGUAUCUGAGCCUCUAGCUAUUAUCUUUGGA